UUAUUUCUGGGACGGGUCAAGGGCGCUACCAUGAUCACGAAGGUGGUUUUCCCAGGGCAAGGCUUAUCCAUUGCACUCCGGAUGUGCUGACUCCUGCGAUUUCCCCAAAUGUGGGAAACUCGACUGCAUAAUUUGUGGUUGUGGGGGGCUGCGUUCAUGCUCUCCCACA